rfam:Camelus ferus unplaced genomic scaffold scaffold372, whole genome shotgun sequence.
GGAGGGUGCAGCUCAGGGGUGGAGCGCGUGCUUGGCAUGCACGAGGUCCUGGGUUCCAUCCCCAGUCCCUCCA